UACGUAGGGCGCAAGCGUUAUCCGGAAUUAUUGGGCGUAAAGAGCUCGUAGGCGGUUUGUCGCGUCUGCCGUGAAAGUCCGGGGCUCAACUCCGGAUCUGCGGUGGGUACGGGCAGACUAGAGUGAUGUAGGGGAGACUGGAAUUCCUGGUGUAGCGGUGAAAUGCGCAGAUAUCAGGAGGAACACCCGUGGCGAAGGCGGCACUCUGGGACGGUACUGACGCUGAGACGCGAAAGCGUGGGGAGCGAACAGG
rnacentral:rRNA from 1 species